AACUUAACAGGAGGAUGCUUGAAAAACCCUAAAGUAAAAGCAGGGGUGAGAGAGAGAAGAAAAGAUGAAGGAAGAAGAGGUGGUGGAAGGCAUAAGAAGGAUUCUGCAACAGAAGAAGGAAAAUGGAGAAUUGGAAUCAGAGAAACUAAAAUGUUUGAUCCCUCACCUCACUCAUCCUCUCAUAGACUCCAUUCUCUCAUGCAAGACUCUCCAACCCACCACACUCCUCUCCUUCUUCAAUUGCCUCCAAACCCACGCUCCACCUCCGCUCCGCUCAUCCCCUCACGCGCUUCUCUCCAUUCUCCCUCCCCUCCUCGUCCGCCGCAAAUUCGCCGACGCCAAGUCCCUCCUCAUCUCCUUCAUCUCCUCCGACCGCACCCACGCCCUCCACGCGCUCCUCCUCCGCCCCCGCCGCCCCCUCUCCAAACCUCUCCUCGACACUGCCCUUGGCGCCUACGUUCACACCGGCCACCCCCACCACGCCUAUCAACUCUUCCAAAAAAUGAAACGAUUGCAUUUUACUCCCAACCUCCUCACUUGCAACACCCUCCUCAACUCCCUCGUCCGCUCCCUCUCCUCCCACUCCAACUUUCUCGCCUCCGGCGUCUUCCAUGACGCCGUCGCCCUCGGCGUCAAGCCCAACACCAACACUUUCAACAUCCUCAUCUACGGUCACUGCCGCCAUAAAAAGUUUGACCACGCCCUUGCGCUUGUUCAGCAAAUGCCCGAAUUCGGGUGUUUCCCUGAUAUCGUCACCUACAACACCAUUCUGGAUGCCCUGUGCAAGAAAGGUCAGUUGAAUAAAGUGAGGGAUGUACUUACAGAAAUGAAGAAUGCCGGCUUGGUUCCCAAUAGGAAUACUUAUAAUAUCCUUGUUCAUGGGUAUUGCAGGUUGAAGUGGUUGAAGGAGGCUUCUGAGGUUAUUGACUUGAUGACUAAAGAUGGUAUGUUGCCGGACGUUUGGACUUAUAAUACCUUGGUCAGGGGGUUGUGUGAUGAGGGGAAGAUUGAUGAGGCUAUUAGGGUUAGAGAUGAGAUGGUGAGUUUGAAGUUGAAACCGGAUGUUGUUACUUAUAAUACUUUGAUUGAUGGGUGUUUUAAGUGGUGUGGCAGCGUGGAGGGGUUUAGGUUGAUUGAGGAGAUGAAGUUUAGGGGAGUUGAGAUGAAUGUGGUGACUCACAAUAUAGUGAUUAAGUGGUUAUGUCAAAAAGGUAAGAUUGAUGAGGCCAGUGAUGCUGUGGUGAGGAUGGUGGAGAGUGGGGUUUAUCCCGAUCGUUUUACUUAUAAUACUAUGAUUAAUGGUUAUUGUAAAGCAGGGAAGUUGGGAGAGGCGUUUAAGAUGAUGGAUGAGAUGGCACGGAAGGGUUUGAAGCCAGAUGUUUUUACUCUUAACAGUGUGUUACAUACUUUGUGUACGGAGAAGAAGGUUGAAGAGGCGUAUGAGUUAACUGUGCAGGCUGGGAAGCGGGGUUAUGUUCUUGAUGAGGUGACCUAUGGAACUCUGAUCAUGGGGUACUUUAAGGCUGAGCAAGGAGGCAAAGCGUUGAAGCUUUGGGAGGAGAUGAAGGGAAGAGGGAUUCUUCCUAGUGUUGUCACUUACAACACUCUAAUCAGAGGCUUAUGCCUGUCUUGGAAAACUGAUCAGGCAGUGGAUAAAUUGAAUGAGCUUUUGGAGAAGGGUUUGGUCCCUGAUGAGUCUACAUGUAACAUCGUUAUUCGUGGUUAUUGCUGGGAGGGAAUGGUAGAGAAAGCGUUUGAGUUUCAUAACAAAAUGGUAGGGAAGUCCUUCAAACCAGAUAUCUUUACACGUAAUAUUCUCCUUCAAGGACUCUGUAGAGAGGGCAUGCUGGAGAAAGCUGUUAAACUCUUUAACUCAUGGGUCUCUAAAGAGGCUUCCGUUGAUGUAGUUACAUACAACACAUUGAUAUCAGCCCUUUGCAAAGAAGGGAGACUGGAGGAAGCAUUUGAUCUUAUAACUGAAAUGGAAGGUAAAAAUUUGGAGCCUGACCGGUAUACAUAUAAUGCCAUUGUUAAUGCGCUUACACAUGCUGGUAGGACUGAGGAAGCUGAGAAAUUCAUGUCAAAACUUUUAGAGGCAGGGCAAGAUAUGAAACCUCAUGAAACUUCCCAAGAGCUUGAUGCUUCGGGUGAUAUUAUGUACUCAGAGAAAAUAAAUGAUUUGUGUACCCAGGGGAAGUACAAGGAGGCAAUGAAACUAUUUCAAGAGUCAGAAGAGAAGGGAAUUGGUUUAAAUAAAUAUACGUAUAUCAAGUUAAUUGAUGGGUUUUUGAAGAGGCGAAAAAGCGUAUCCAAGGUUGCCCAACCAAAUUGAAACAAUAAAUUGGCUAUGUAAUCAUUAUGGCAUUGGAUCUGGGAUGCUCAUAAUGCUGAAGCAUGUUGUAGAGGUGCUGUUAUGAUGACACUGAAUAAUUUCAUUUUCAGACAUAUUGUUCCGUAUCUGAAGGGAGAUGUAAGGUUGUCUUAGUAGUAAAAGUGGAAGAGAGAAAGGGACAGUCUUGGGUUCGUUUGAGUUACCCCCUCUCGGCUAACAAAAGCUAACAUAUGCUAAUCUAAAAAAAUUUAGUUUCAGUGUAAAUGUCUUUCAAUUUUAUUUGCGAAUCUAGUGAUUAUAGUGGUGAUUUUGCAUUUCUUUCUUUACGCUUAAAUGAUGUGAACUUCUUCAUUUGAUCUUUGUGCAGAAUUGAUGCAUAAAGUUAAAUUUUUUAUUAUUUCCAAAGAGACCAUAUCAAGUUUGUUAGACCUUGUGUCACCCAUCAUUGGCUUCCUCUUAGUCCUAUGCUUAAGAUGUUCAGUCCUCAGUGUGAGGAAGUACGUUGAAGAACCUACAGCAAUUAGAGAUAAAAGACCAACUUAUAGUGUAUAGGUGGGUUAAACCUCAACUUACCAAGCAAAUUUUGUAAUGUUGAAUUUGGUUCAAAUUCUACUUUCUUAAGAAUUAUAUUUAUAAAUUGAUGCAGCACAUACGAGAAUAAAAUAAAAAAUUUCCAACAUCCUA